CGCUCUCCCGCCACUCUCCAGCUCUCUGCUAUCAGAAAACUCUGUGGAAAUGCUCUAGCUGAGUAUAAAAUGGGUCCUGGAACGGAAGUUAGCCUCAGCAGAGUAAUGGUGUUCUAAGUCGUGCCCGAAAGGUGUUUGAAAAAAUGCUCAAUUGGCAAACCGUUGGUUUAUGUGUGAAGAAAUGGUCCUCCAAAAACUUGUACUGGGCUGAUAUUGGGAUCCAUUUUGGGUAAACAGAAGCAGAGGCUGGAAUGGUGGUUUCUACAUGAAACUGGGGAAAGCAAGCAAACACAGUGGCAGAAAUUUGGGCUAUAAUGCAGGAAAUGAAGCUGGCUUGGGAGAAGGGGUUCAGGAAAAUCUUCAUAGAAUCAGACUCACAAACUGGAAUGAGAUUAAUUGACGAAGUGCUUAUUAAUAGUCCACAUGUCAACCAAAUCAGAUUGGCCAGGAGUUGGGUAAGUCAAGGCUGGGAUUGCAGACUCAAUCAUGCAUGGAGGAGUGCAACAUGUGCAAGGACAACCUUGCCAAACUCAGCCUGGGAGCACUGCUGGAGGUGACUGUCCUGGAGAACCCAACCCCCCCCCCCCGGGGCAGGGGGGUCUUUGCAUAGCUUAUUAGGAUUUGAUGUAAUUAGUGUAGCAACACCACGUGUAGCUGCGGUGUAGAUGGGUUCAAACCAGCCUUUUGACCAAAAGAAAAAUGGAAGCAGAGGCUCCUAAUAUGAAAGUUUGCCAACAUACAACUGUUGUAGCUGUUCUUUUGAUUGUUUAUGGUCAAUAUUGCUAGUAUGUUGUGAACCCAUCAAUGUAGGAUGGGGUUUGCUGUGAUCUAAUAACGGUACCGUAUUAGAGAAGUAGGAAGACUUUUUGUGGGUGGGGUGUUAGGUGAUGGGGAUCAUGGAGUGGUGUGGGGAGAUGGGGCAUCAAGGAGAGAAAGAGGUGUGUGGGGAGAGAUGUUACCUCUUGAUUUUCCAUCCAAGUAGAAGAACAAAAAAUGUAAUCUUUUGCUCAGUUUCUACUGCUAGUAAUAAAUAAAUAGAUAUUACUUGA